rnacentral:rRNA from 1 species
CCCCAGACUCCUACGGGAGGCAGCAGUGAGGAAUGUUGGUCAAUGGGCUUACGCCUGAACCAGCCAAGUCGCGUGAGGGAAGACUGCCCUAUGGGUUGUAAACCUCUUUUGUCAGGGAGCAACGCCGGCUACGUGUAGCCGGACUGAGAGUACCUGAAGAAAAAGCAUCGGCUAACUCCGUGCCAGCAGCCGCGGUAAUACGGAGGAUGCGAGCGUUAUCCGGAUUUAUUGGGUUUAAAGGGUGCGUAGGCGGCGCUUCAGGUCAGCGGUGAAAUACCGGGGCUCAACCCCGGGGCUGCCGUUGAAACCGGAGCGCUAGAAUUCCGAUGCCGUCGGAGGAAUGUGUGGUGUAGCGGUGAAAUGCAUAGAUAUCACACAGAACCCCGAUUGCGAAGGCAGCAUACCGGUGCACAACUGGCGCUCAGGCACGAAAGCGUGGGUAUCGAACAGGAUUAGAUACCCCAGUAGA